rnacentral:rRNA from 2 species
ACAGUGUCUGGUGGGUAGUUUGACUGGGGCGGUCUCCUCCCAAAGCGUAACGGAGGAGCACGAAGGUUAGCUAAUCCUGGUCGGACAUCAGGAGGUUAGUGCAAUGGCAUAAGCUAGCUUGACUGCGAGCGUGACGGCGCGAGCAGGUGCGAAAGCAGGUCAUAGUGAUCCGGUGGUUCUGAAUGGAAGGGCCAUCGCUCAACGGAUAAAAGGUACUCCGGGGAUAACAGGCUGAUACCGCCCAAGAGUUCAUAUCGACGGCGGUGUUUGGCACCUCGAUGUCGGCUCAUCACAUCCUGGGGCUGAAGUAGGUCCCAAGGGUAUGGCUGUUCGCCAUUUAAAGUGGUACGCGAGCUGGGUUUAGAACGUCGUGAGACAGUUCGGUCCCUAUCUGCCGUGGGCGCUGGAGAAUUGAGGGGGGCUGCUCCUAGUACGAGAGGACCGGAGUGGACGCAUCACUGGUGUUCGGGUUGUCAUGCCAAUGGCACUGCCCGGUAGCUAAAUGCGGAAGAGAUAAGUGCUGAAAGCAUCUAAGCACGAAACUUGCCCCG